rnacentral:misc_RNA from 1 species
GAAUCUCUCUCUAGUUAGAGCACACAGCCCUUAGAUUACAGCUCCCACCAUUGACAAAGAGCCGGUUUUCAUUCACUUGCCUUAUUUUUUAAUUUAUUUUUUUCGUUAAUUUGGGAUAUUAUUUUUGAGGGCCAUAUCUUUUAGCGAAGCUUUUGUGCGUUGUUUGUAAAAAGGAGCCAUUUUUAGAGAGAGAGAGAGAGUGAGGGAGACAAUAUAACGGCUAUAUUUGCUGGUUCUGCGGCUGUGGGAAGCGGAGAUCGAGGUAGGAAGAGGUUGAUUUGGUUUGGAGGAGGGAGACUUUACAGUUUUGCCCAUUUGGCAACCGAUUUUGGGGGGACCUUUUGGUCAAUUCGUGGUUGCUGAUCUUGUUUUUGAAGCAGUUGCAGAAGUGGGUUUUGAGAUUGGUGGGAUUUGAAUUGAAAUAUCUGGGUAGGGAGAUUAUAAGGGGAAAAGAGAAAAACAAACAAACAAAGGAAAAAAAAAAAA